AACCUCGCUGUGUGUUAUAUGUGUCACACGGGGACUGCCGGUCUUAAGCCGGAGGAAGGUGGGGAGUGAUGUCAAGUCCGCAUGGCCUUUAUAUCCUGGGCUACACACACGCUACAAUGGCCAACACAAUAGGUUGCUAAGCCGCGAGGUGGCGCCAAUCCAUAAAGUUGGUCUCAGUUCAGAUUGUAGGCUGCAACCCGCCUGCAUGAAGAUGGAGUUGCUAGUAACCGCAGGUCAGCUAUACUGCGGUGAAUACGUUCCCGGGGCUU
rnacentral:rRNA from 1 species